rnacentral:rRNA from 1 species
UUUCCGGUUGAUUCUGCCGGAGGACAUUUGCUAUUGGGAUUCGAUUUAGCCAUGCUAGUCGAGCGAGUUCAGACUCGCGGCGCAUAGCUCAGUAACACGUGGCCAAGCUACCCUUCAGUCAGCGAUACCCUCGGGAAACUGAGGUUAACAGCUGAUACAAAACGCCAGCUGGAAUGCGGCGUUUCAGAAAGACAUCGCUGAAGGAUGCGGCUGCGGCCGAUUAGGUAGACGGUGGGGUAACGGCCCACCGUGCCAGUAAUCGGUACGGGUGAUGAGAGUCAGAGCCCGGAGACGGAAUCUGAGACAAGAUUCCGGGCCCUACGGGGCGCAGCAGGCGCGAAACCUUUACACUGCACGGAAGUGCGAUAGGGGAAUCCCAAGUGCGAGGGCAUAUUAGCCCUCGCUUUUCUCGACUGUAAGGUGGUCGACGAAUAAGAGCUGGGCAAGACCGGUGCCAGCCGCCGCGGUAAUACCGGCAGCUCAAGUGAUGUCCCAUAUUAUUGGGCCUAAAGCGUCCGUAGCU